UAGCAAACAUUUGACAGGAUUUUAUUUUAUGAAAAGAAUGACAAAGUUUUACCUCUUGACAUAAAAUCUUGCUGGACACGUAUUUUUGGUCUUUGUUUAACUCGCCAAUUUCAUUCAGAACUCCGAUCAAUUUCCGAUCUGAAAAAUGGAUAGCCAACUGGUUGAGAUGUGCCUGGAAUCGGCGACGGAGAGCCUUGACGCCGUUGAAGCGUGGCGGAGACAGCGGCGGACACUGGAAAUCAUGCCUUCUCACCUCGCCGAAGCUCUUCUUCACCGCCUUCUUCGCCGCCGUCUCCUCUUCCCAUCUUUACUCGAAGUGUUUAAAUUUUGUGUCGACGGGAUCGACUUAAGGGGAGAGAGUUGUGUGGAUGCAGAAUGGAUGGCAUAUUUAGGUGCUUUUGACCACUUGCGUUCUCUCAAUUUAUCAGAUUGUAACAAAAUUAACAAUUCAGCCAUUUGGGCUAUUACGGGAAUGACGAACUUAAAGGAGCUUGACCUCUCCAGGUGCUCGAAGAUUACUGAUGCUGGAGUUGGACAUCUAACAACCAUCCCAAUUUUGGAAAAGCUGUGGAUUCCAGAAACAGGUGUCACAGCUGAUGGUGUGAUGCUCCUGACUUCGUUAACCAACUUAUCUUUGUUAGAUUUGGGAGGCCUGCCUGUAUCUGAUUCUGCUGUGUCAAAUCUUAAGGUUCUCAGGAAGCUACAGCAUUUGGAUCUUUGGGGGAGUGAAGUAUCAAACAAAGGAGCAUCUCAUCUUAAAUGGUUCCCAAGGUUGAGUUCUCUGAAUUUGGCCUGGACCAAGGUUACUAUGUUGCCGGGUCUGCCUUCUCUUGCGUGCCUAAACAUGAGCAAUUGCACGAUCCGUUCUAUAUUUGAAGGAGAAGGACAGAAAGCUCUUCUUACAAAGCUUAUUCUGUCUGGAGCAACCAUAAGAGAUGUCUCUGAAGCUUUCCUACACCUAGAAACAUCUUCCCUCUCUCUUCUGGAUCUUUCCAAUUCAUCUCUUAAUUCGUACUGCUUUUUGCCAUAUAUGAGUAUGAUAUCAGAUUUAGAUCUCAGUGGUACAUCUGCAGGAGAUGAGUCAGUUGAACACAUUGCAUUUGUAGGUCAAAAUUUACGUCAUCUAAAUCUCAGCCGGACAAAAUUAAGCUCUGCUGGACUGGGAACCUUAGCUGGUUUUGUUCGCAAUCUUGAAACUUUAUUGUUAUCUUACACGGCCAUUGACGAUUCUGCUAUCCCCUUCAUGUGCACCAUGCCUUUACUAAAAUAUAUCAAUAUGAGUGGUACAAAUAUCAGAGGUAUUCCCAAUGACGUGGACUCUGAUCCUAAUUGUGUUUCGUCACUGUCUGGAUUGUCUAGUCUUGAUCAUUUGGAGAGAUUGGAUUUGGAGGAGACUCGAAUAAAGGAUUCAGCUUUGGCUCCUUUGCCGAGCUUUCCUAAAUUGAGCUAUUUAUUUUUACGGAGUGGUUCCCUUGCUGACACCACUUUGCAUCAGUUGUCGUCUAUUAGAAGCUUGGUAACCCUGGGUAUUCGUGAUGGUGUGCUCACUAAUGCCGGGCUCGAUGUUUUCAACCCUCCACAAACAAUGAGGAUUCUUGAUCUCAGGGGUUGUUGGUUGAUGACAGAGGAUGCUCUGUUGUCAUUUCAGCAAAGGCAUCCUCAUAUUGAAGUAAGGCAUGAUCUUCUUAGUAUUGCAUUGGUUAAAAGGUUAUCUGUUAGCCCACCUUUGUCCCAAGCGACACCACGGGCCAAACUAUACAAAAACAAGAAGGGAGGGCCAUCAACAUCUCCCCUUAGCUUUAACAGAGACAGCUUUCUUGAUCAAAGAUUGAAGUACACCAGCGAAGAACUACUCGCAAUGAAGUUCGAUUCUGCCUCUAUCUCCAGAGACAAUGUUGAUUAGAUACCUCAUGAGCUGGUAAAUGAUGGAUAGUAUUUCUUGGAUUCAUCUCAUAGUGUAACCCAAAAUGAUAAAUGAUACAAGCCCACACCAUGUUAGGGCUGUCGUUAUGGAAAACUUCGGAGCACUUUUUGACGCGUGUUGCAGCACUUCUGAUCCUGCAAAGCUCAACGCACUUCUGAUCUUGCAAAGCUCAGUUGAUACCUAGAUUUAUGCAAGUUUUUAUGUGACUCAAAUUACCAACCGUUUUGAAAUACAAGGACAAGUUUUCCUAUGAUUGUCCUAAAGCUCUCCAGCGCUGGUAUUGCAUGGGAACCUUCCAGACUUGAUGUUUUUGUAUAAUGCCCAUAUUUUUGUAACGUUAUGUUUUUUAAGUUCUGUUUCUGGUUAUUUUUAUUAUAGCAAUCCAGAAAUGUCCGCCUUUUUUGAGAUUAUGCAUUCCUGAAUUUGCAGAGUAAAAGAAAUGUCAUGUUUCAAGGAUAUUAUGAUGCGGAGUGGAGUGAAGUCUUCUAUCGUGUUACAAUUUCUAUGGUGAUCCCCGUUAUAUCGUAUAUGUUUGAAUCGAUUAGGUUCGUGAUCUAUUCUUCUGUGCAAUGCCUACAGACGAAAUGCUUCUUUUCAGAUCAGUUCUUCAUAGCCAUUGUUUUUGAUCCACCUUCAGUGAAAAACUCUAAUAAUUAUAUAUACUUGCUCAACACAACCUAUGACGGAUUCAAAAGUUCACAGACCAUUUAGAACAGCCUUA